rnacentral:rRNA from 1 species
CGGGACGGGUGAGUAACGCGUGGGUAACCUGCCUUACACAGGGGGAUAACACCUGGAAACAGGUGCUAAUACCCGCAUAAGCGCACAGGGCCGCAUGGCCCGGUGUGAAAAACUCCAGUGGUGUAAGAUGGACCCGCGUCUGAUUAGCUUGUUGGCGGGGUAGAGGCCCACCAAGGCGACGAUCAGUAGCCGGCCUGAGAGGGUGGACGGCCACAUUGGGACUGAGACACGGCCCAAACUCCUACGGAAGGCAGCAG